rnacentral:lncRNA from 1 species
CUCCAGCCUGGGCGACAGAGCAAGACUCCAUCUCAAAAAAAACCAACAACAACAACAACAACAACAACAACAAAAAGACCACUAGCUAGACUAAUAAAGAAGAAAAGAGAGAAGAUCCAAAUAAACACAAUUAGAAAUGAUAAAGGAAAUGUUACUACUGACCUCACAGAUAAAAAAACAACCACCAGAGACUACUAUGACCACAUCUACACAUACAGACUAGAAAACCUAAAACAGAUGAAUAAAUUCCUGGACACAUACACCCUCCCAAGACUGAGCAAGGAAGAAAUUGAUUCCCUGAACAGACCAAUAAUGAGCUCCGAAAUUCAAUCAGUAAUAAAUAGCCUACCAACCAAAAAAGGCCAGGACCUGAAGGACUCACAGCUGAAUUCUAUUAGAUGUGCAAAGAAGAGCUGGUACCAUUCCUACAGAAACUAUUCUAAAAAAUUGAGCAGAAAGGACUCCUUCCCAACUCAUUCUAUGAGGCUAGCAUCAUCUUAAUGGUAAACUUUCAAUGACUCUCCACCACCAAGAGGAUGAAUUUCUAUCUCCUUAGAAUGGCAUAUAAAGCCAUUUGUGAUUUGGCCCUGGCUUCCCUCUCCACUCCAGCAGCUGUACUUAAGUACUUGUAGGUCCCUUAGGGAGCCAUAAUUUGUGGCAUUUUUACAUGUUACUUCCUUGGCAUAUAUAUUUUAUUUUAUUUUUGUCAGGCCCACACCACUUAGAUGUUGCUGACUCUAGUAAAGCUUCCCUUACUCCCCAGGUGCUGGGCUAAGUACCCCUAUUCUGGGAACCCUUCUGCUUACCAUAUCACAGCACUUCCGUGACUUCAUAAUCGUCUGUUUACUUGCCAUUUCCUCUAUUAAAUUCUGAGCUCCCUGAUGGGAGUAUUCAUGGUUAGAGUCUCAGUCUCUAUUACGGGCCCUAGUACACUUCAGGAACUCAAAAGCUUUGCUGAUAUAAUGCAAGGUGAUAAAAAAGUAGAAAGACUUGGGAUAAUCUUGAUUUCUGAAGGCAUCAAACGGGAAUUAGAGAAAGCAGCAGGAAAAACGAAGGCCUUUUUAAGUUCCAUGAGAACUACGGUUUGCAAGACUGGUCAAAACAGUACAAUGCAAGCGGCAAGAAUCAGGAAGUGCACAGAAACAAGAAGCUCGGUGCACACUGGGAUCAGGCAAGCAUCUGGGAGAAGACUGUAGCAAGACUGGAUCCUGAGAAAUAUACAGAGUUCAGAGGCUCCAUGGCUACACUUUGGGCAUGUAUGUCAUUACAGGAAUGAAAAAAAGAUGAUGGCCAAAUGCUGUAUUAAAAUCCCAUUAGAAAUGCCGGGAGAAAUUUAUGGCCCCAAUCUCUUUUAUCUGACAGCAGUUCCCAUGUGAUCCAUCAGGCUCUGAACAUGAAUUUUAAUGGGCUCAGAACCACUUCUCUACCCUGAGGUCACAGGCUGUCAGAGUGAAUCUUCCACAAACUGAUUGGAACCUGAAGAAUUUGCUCUGUCAAGAGAGGAAAGAGGCACUCUGAAUUCAAAGGCUGUUUGAAUGAACUGACUGCUUCAGCACUGUCUUGUAGAUAUAGUCCAUUCAAAUAAAAGACAAAUAUCUGACUGAAUUUUGUUAGCACGUUAAGACAUGUAUUAUAAAAAGGUUUAAGAAGAAAAUAAUGGCCACAAUUCUUCAGAAAACAUGUGAACUAAUGUGACAAAACACUGUGGUGUUGCAAACUCAAGUGCUGCUCUGGCCAAGUCACCUCGCUGAAAUCUCCACUUCCACUUGUGCAACCUACCAAGCCACUCUCUACACAGCUGCCAGAGUGAUUACAAAAACAACGCGGGAUUAUGCUACCCCUGCUUAUCUAAAAUUUGUCAAAAUGCCCGUUACACUUUGAAUAAAAUACAGAUUCCUCUCAGAUCUCAUUUCUUAUCAUGUCUUUCUCAAUCAUUAUGUUCCAGCCUCACUGACCUUCUUUCUGUUCCUGUAAAAUAUUCCUGCCUCAAGGGCGCAGGCCUACGACCUGCAGUUCUCUUUUUCCCACAUGUGACCAGGCUCUCUCUUAGCCAUCAGGUCUCAAAUAAGCUCUUUCCGUUCUGUCUAGGCAUCUUAUCAAAAUCAACCUGUGUAUUAUUAUUCAUUUAUCACAUAAUCUUGUUUUAUUUUCCUCAUAGCACUCUCACUUUCUGAAAUUAUCUUUGUUUAUAUGUUUAAUGCCCUUCUUUUCCACUAGAAUGGAAACUCAAAGAUCAAGAAACUUAUCUGGCCUUUUCACUGUUGAAUUGCCAAAAUUUUGAACAGUGCCUAACAUACAGUAAAGGCUCAAUAAAUAAAUAAAUAAAUGUUCAGCUCUCUUGGCUGUCUCUGCAGUGAUCAAGAAUAUUUUGAUGUCUCUCAAAAGAACUAUAUGCUUAUAGUAGCCU